GAAACAGAGCAGUGGUAGCAUAGCAGAAGUACUCAUGUUGUGACCCUGUCAGAUUCCAACAAAUCUGCAAAUUCUGCU
rnacentral:lncRNA from 1 species